AAGAGAUAAAAAUACUAAUAUUUUAAUUCUACAGUUAAAUAAACCAAUAACUGGAUUAUAAAGUGUCUCUUAGUUUGUUAUUAUGUCUCUUAGCUAAGAGAUUUUUUCGUUUCUCUUUCUUCUUUCUCUUAAGUUUUAAUUAUUUUUC
rnacentral:sRNA from 1 species